rnacentral:snRNA from 1 species
GGAUGUGAGGGCGAUCUGGCUGCGAGAUCUGUCACCCCAUUGAUCGCCAGGGUUGAUUUGGCUGAUCUGGCUGGCUAGGCGGGUGUCCCCUUCCUCCCUCACUGCUCCAUGUGCGUCCCUCCUGAAGCUGUGUGCUCGGUCGAAGAGGACGACCUUCCGGUUCCGAUAGAGACGUACCGUUCAUCGGUCAAGGGUAUACGGUAGCUGCGCUCCCCUGCUAGAACCUCCAAACAAGCUCAAGGUCCAUUUGUAGGAGAACAUAGGGUAGUCAAGCUUCCAAGACUGCAGACACAUCCAAGUGAGGCACUGCAUGGGUCAGUCUGCCAUAAAGA